rnacentral:rRNA from 1 species
UGGGGAAUAUUGCGCAAUGGGCGAAAGCCUGACGCAGCGACGCCGCGUGAGGGAUGAAGGUUUUCGGAUCGUAAACCUCUUUCAGAAGGGAAGAAACCGCACUGUGCUAAUCAGCAGUGCCUUGACGGUACCUUCAAAGGAAGCACCGGCUAACUCCGUGCCAGCAGCCGCGGUAAUACGGAGGGUGCAAGCGUUAAUCGGAAUUACUGGGCGUAAAGCGCACGUAGGCUGCUUUGUAAGUCAGGGGUGAAAUCCCACGGCUCAACCGUGGAACUGCCUUUGAUACUGCUUAGCUUGAAGCCGGGAGAGGGUGGCGGAAUUCCAGGUGUAGGAGUGAAAUCCGUAGAUAUCUGGAGGAACAUCAGUGGCGAAGGCGGCCACCUGGACCGGUAUUGACGCUGAGGUGCGAAAGCGUGGGGAGCAAACAGG